rnacentral:rRNA from 1 species
UAGGGAAUCUUCCACAAUGGACGAAAGUCUGAUGGAGCAACGCCGCGUGAGUGAUGAAGGGUUUCGGCUCGUAAAACUCUGUUGUUGGAGAAGAACGGGUGUCAGAGUAACUGUUGACAUCGUGACGGUAUCCAACCAGAAAGCCACGGCUAACUACGUGCCAGCAGCCGCGGUAAUACGUAGGUGGCAAGCGUUGUCCGGAUUUAUUGGGCGUAAAGCGAGCGCAGGCGGUUUUUUAGGUCUGAUGUGAAAGCCUUCGGCUUAACCGGAGAAGUGCAUCGGAAACCGGGAGACUUGAGUGCAGAAGAGGACAGUGGAACUCCAUGUGUAGCGGUGAAAUGCGUAGAUAUAUGGAAGAACACCAGUGGCGAAGGCGGCUGUCUGGUCUGCAACUGACGCUGAGGCUCGAAAGCAUGGGUAGCGAACAGGAUUAGAUACCCUGGUAGUCCAUGCCGUAAACGAUGAGUGCUAAGUGUUGGGAGGCUUCCGCCUCUCAGUGCUGCAGCUAACGCAUUAAGCACUCCGCCUGGGGGAGUACGACCGCAAGGUUGAAAC